GCGAGCGUUGUCCGGAGUUACUGGGCGUAAAGCGCUUGUAGGCGGUCCACCAAGUUUGGGGUGACAGUUGCCGACUUAAUCGGCAAAGUGCCUCAAAGACUGGCGGACUUGAGGGCCACAGAGGGACAUGGAACUCCAGGUGUAGUGGUGAAAUGCGUUGAUAUCCUAAGGAACACCGGUGGCGAAGGCGGGUCUCUGGGCCAUUACUGACGCUGAGGAGCGAAAGCGUGGGGAGCGAACAGG
rnacentral:rRNA from 1 species